GAUGAACGCUGGCGGCGUGCCUAACACAUGCAAGUCGAACGGAGUCCAGCCUUAGAGACCUUCGGGUCAAAGAGGGGAAGACUGAGUGGCGGACGGGUGAGUAACACGUGGGCAACCUGGCUCAUAGAGGGGGAUAACAGAGAGAAAUUUCUGCUAAUACCGCAUAAGCACACACUGCCGCAUGGCAGAGUGUGAAAAGAGAAUCGCUAUGAGAUGGACCCGCGUCUGAUUAGCCAGUUGGCAGGGUAAGAGCCUACCAAAGCGACGAUCAGUAGCCGAUUUGAGAGGAUGAACGGCCACAUUGGGACUGAGACACGGCCCAAACUCCUACGGGAGGCAGCAGUGGGGGAUAUUGCACAAUGGGGGGAACCCUGAUGCAGCGACGCCGCGUGAGUGAAGAAGUAUUUCGGUAUGUAAAGCUCUAUCAGCAGGGAAGAUAAUGACAGUACCUGAAGAAGAAGCCCCGGCUAACUACGUG
rnacentral:rRNA from 1 species